rnacentral:rRNA from 1 species
UGCCGCGUGUGUGAAGAAGGUCUUCGGAUUGUAAAGCACUUUAAGUUGGGAGGAAGGGCAGUUACCUAAUACGUGAUUGUUUUGACGUUACCGACAGAAUAAGCACCGGCUAACUCUGUGCCAGCAGCCGCGGUAAUACAGAGGGUGCAAGCGUUAAUCGGAAUUACUGGGCGUAAAGCGCGCGUAGGUGGUUUGUUAAGUUGGAUGUGAAAUCCCCGGGCUCAACCUGGGAACUGCAUUCAAAACUGACUGACUAGAGUAUGGUAGAGGGUGGUGGAAUUUCCUGUGUAG